UCCACAGGCCGCGACUGUCUUCCCCAAACUGUCCAUCACGAUAGGUGUUUGCACUUGUCGGCAAUAUGGGAAACUCCCACCAAUUUGUGUUUGGAAGAGCUGAGUUUUGAGUUUUGGGUGUGGAGCUUUGAGAGCUUUCCAAGGCCCCAGGCCGGCUGCUUUGUGUUAUACUGUGUCCCUGGAAAUCAUCUCACACCUGGGUUCAUAAAGCAGGAACGCUGCAGGUGGGGAAUGCGUUCCUUAUCAAGCGCUGAAAAUCAGACGCAUUCCAGUGUUGCCAACAGUGUCACAGAGGUAGAUACAGCGGGCCCCUUACGUAGAAUUCCAUGCGGGACAGCUUCCCAAGAGCCACAAACUCCAACCUCCUAAAGCAAAGAUCUCUCUCUCUCCUGAAGCCCCAUGAAGCUUAAGAGAACGCUGCUCAAGGGGGGACUUAAUGAGACAGGAAGAAGAGAGUUAAAUCCAAUAAUUUGAGAUUCCAUCUCCCGUGGGAGUUUGCUUUGAAAACAUAAUGACUGUAAGUCCCCAUCGCUGAUGGCUCUUCUCCGUCAGUAACCAGCCCUCACCACCACAGCGUCCUUUUUACUCUUCCUUCCUCCCCACCCUUACCCCUUGUGAUGGGAGGAAUGAGCAGAGAUGGUGCAGGACCAGCCAGUUCCUGCCAGCAGACUCCCUGCCACCAGCAGCCAUU